UUGGACCUGAUAUCCAGGCAAGAUUACCCGCUGAACUUAA
rnacentral:rRNA from 1 species